rnacentral:lncRNA from 1 species
GGGCCCAGUCGCGUCGGGCCUCCCGAGGGGGCUGCGAGUGUCAGUCGGCUCUCCGCACGUGUCCGCGGCCUCGCGGAGCAGUCCACCCCUGGCUGGUUUCUGCUUCCACCUGCUGAUCUCACAGAGCACUGCAAGCUAUUUGGCAUAUGAAGGUCUUGACCUGAGAAAACCAUCUUGGAUAACUGCAGCAAGGAAAAGGAAAAAUGCAACACCUAGGAGAUUUCAGUAAACAGUAGAAUCAUGCCAACCUAAUCUGUGUUAAAAUGCUUGGAAUGUGGGAGCCGCUGAUGAUGCCUCUUGUCUGUGUGUCUGACUGAAUCCUUUCUUUUCUCAGAGCAGCAAAGCAAAGCCUGGGAACCAGGCCAAAUGCCUGCCACUUACCUUAAAUUGAUCAGCCACUUUGAGAUUAAAACCCCUGAAAGCUGCCACACCGUGAAAACAAGGCCUCCUUCACAUUAAAGGCAAAUUGCGACUUUGAAAAAAAAAAAAA